UCUGAUGGGACAACAGCCUGUUUUUCCUGCUGGACCCAAGGAUGUGGAAAUACUACGUUGGCAGAUUGCAGUCAUUCUCUUGGAGGCCUCAGAUGACUUGACAUCUAUCUGCUGCAUCUGUGGACAUGAAGAGGUGGAUGACUCCCAAGAUAAUAAGACCAUUAUUUGGAUAUCCUGUGAUGUGUGCGCGAGGUGGUUUCACCAUGCUUGCUUGGGAUGUCCAGACACAUCAUCAACUUUUACUUGUGAAGCC